AGAGUUUGAUCAUGGCUCAGGAUGAACGCUGGCGGCGUGCUUAACACAUGCAAGUCGAGCGAAGCACUUUACUUGGAUUUCUUCGGAAUGACGAGUAUUGUGACUGAGCGGCGGACGGGUGAGUAACGCGUGGGUAACCUGCCUCAUACAGGGGGAUAACAGUUAGAAAUGACUGCUAAUACCGCAUAAGACCACAGCACCGCAUGGUGCAGGGGUAAAAACUCCGGUGGUAUGAGAUGGACCCGCGUCUGAUUAGCUGGUUGGUGGGGUAACGGCCUACCAAGGCGACGAUCAGUAGCCGGCCUGAGAGGGCGACCGGCCACAUUGGGACUGAGACACGGCCCAAACUCCUACGGGAGGCAGCAGUGGGGAAUAUUGCACAAUGGGGGAAACCCUGAUGCAGCGACGCCGCGUGAAGGAAGAAGUAUUUCGGUAUGUAAAUUUCUAUCAGCAGGGAAGAAAAUGACGGUACCUGAAUAAGAAGCCCCGGCUAACUACGUGCCAGCAGCCGCGGUAAUACGUAGGGGGCAAGCGUUAUCCGGAUUUACUGGGUGUAAAGGGAGCGUAGACGGAGAGGCAAGUCUGAUGUGAAAACCCGGGGCUCAACCCCGGGACUGCAUUGGAAACUGUUUUUCUAGAGUGUCGGAGAGGUAAGCGGAAUUCCUAGUGUAGCGGUGAAAUGCGUAGAUAUUAGGAGGAACACCAGUGGCGAAGGCGGCUUACUGGACGAUGACUGACGUUGAGGCUCGAAAGCGUGGGGAGCAAACAGGAUUAGAUACCCUGGUAGUCCACGCCGUAAACGAUGACUACUAGGUGUCGGGUGGCAAAGCCAUUCGGUGCCGCAGCCCACGCCAUAAGUAGUCCACCUGGGGAGU
rnacentral:rRNA from 1 species